GACGAACGCUGGCGGCGUGCUUAACACAUGCAAGUCGAACGGCAGCGCGGGCUUCGGCCUGGCGGCGAGUGGCGAACGGGUGAGUAAUAUAUCGGAACGUACCCAGGAGUGGGGGAUAACGUAGCGAAAGUUACGCUAAUACCGCAUACGUCCUACGGGAGAAAGGGGGGGAUCGCAAGACCUCAUGCUCAUGGAGCGGCCGAUAUCUGAUUAGCUAGUCGGUGGGGUAAAGGCUCACCAAGGCAACGAGCAGUAGCUGGUCUGAGAGGACGACCAGCCACACUGGAACUGAGACACGGUCCAGACUCCUACGGGAGGCAGCAGUGGGGAAUUUUGGACAAUGGGGGCAACCCUGAUCCAGCAAUGCCGCGUGAGUGAAGAAGGCCUUCGGGUUGUAAAGCUCUUUUGUCAGGGAAGAAACGACUCCUUCUAAUACAGGGGGUUAAUGACGGUACCUGAAGAAUAAGCACCGGCUAACUACGUGCCAGCCGCCGCAGUAA
rnacentral:rRNA from 1 species